rnacentral:rRNA from 1 species
GAUGAACGCUGGCGGCGUGCCUAAUACAUGCAAGUCGAGCGAACAGACGAGAAGCUUGUUCCUCUGACGAUAGCGGCAGACGGGAGAGUCACACGUGGAUAAUGUCCCUCACAGACUGGGAUAACUUCGAGAAACCGGCGCUAAUACCGGAUAAUCUAUUUAACCGUAUGGUUCAAUAGUGAAAGUCGGUUUUUCGGUCACGUAUAGAUGGAUCCGCGCCGCAUUAGCUAGUUUGUAAGGUAACGGCUUACCCAGGCAACGAUGCGUAGCCGACCGCAGAGAGUGGUCGCCCACACUGGAGCGUGGACGGCGACCAGACUCCUACGAUACGCAGCAGAAGGGUAUCGUCCGCAACAGGCGAGAGCCUGACGGAGCGACGCCACGCGAGAGAUGACGGUGUUCGGAUCGGAAAGCUCUGUUAUUAGGGAUAAACAAAUGUGUAAGUAGCUGAACACUUCUUGACGGUACCUAAUCAGAAAGCCACGGCUAACUACGUG